GUGAUGAGUAGAGGUUCAGGCGAGAGAUGAGCGCCCUUCAGCGGCACUGA
rnacentral:snoRNA from 1 species